UGAAAACUGAAACAGGUUGAACGCUUGC
rnacentral:sRNA from 1 species